rnacentral:rRNA from 1 species
AUCGAACGCUGGCGGCAUGCUUUACACAUGCAAGUCGAACGGUAACAGGGUGCUUGCACCGCUGACGAGUGGCGAACGGGUGAGUAAUGCGUCGGAACGCACCGAGUAAUGGGGGAUAACGCAGCGAAAGCUGUGCUAAUACCGCAUACGCUCUGAGGAGGAAAGCGGGGGACCUUCGGGCCUCGCGUUAUUCGAGCGGCCGACGUCUGAUUAGCUAGUAGGUGAGGUAAGAGCUCACCUAGGCGACGAUCAGUAGCGGGUCUGAGAGGAUGAUCCGCCACACGGGGACUGAGACACGGCCCAGACUCCUACGGGAGGCAGCAGUGGGGAAUUUUGGACAAUGGGCGCAAGCCUGAUCCAGCCAUGCCGCGUGUCUGAAGAAGGCCUUCGGGUUGUAAAGGACUUUUGUCAGGGAGGAAAUCCUUAGCGCUAAUACCGUUGAGGGAUGACAGUACCUGAAGAAUAAGCACCGGCUAACUACGUGCCAGCCGCCGCAGUAAUAC